AUUGAACGCUGGCGGCAUGCUUUACACAUGCAAGUCGAACGGUAACAGGUUAAGCUGACGAGUGGCGAACGGGUGAGUAAUGCAUCGGAACGUGCCCGAUCGUGGGGGAUAACGCAGCGAAAGUUGCGCUAAUACCGCAUACGAUCUGAGGAUGAAAGCGGGGGACCGUAAGGCCUCGCGCGAUCGGAGCGGCCGAUGUCAGAUUAGGUAGUUGGUGGGGUAAAGGCUCACCAAGCCAACGAUCUGUAGCUGGUCUGAGAGGACGACCAGCCACACGGGGACGGAGACACGGCCCAGACUCGUACGGGAGGCGGCAGUGGGGAAUUGUGGACAAUGGGCGAAAGCCUGAUCCAGCAAUGCCGCGUGCAGGAAGAAGGCGUUCGGGUUGUAAACUGCUUUUGUACGGAGCGAAAAGGCUCUCUCUAAUACAGGGGGCUCAUGACGGUACCGUAAGAAUAAGCACCGGCUAACUACGUGCCAGCCGCCGCCGUAAGAC
rnacentral:rRNA from 1 species